ensembl:miRNA gga-mir-6563 gga-mir-6563
AGCUACUGACUGCUGCAUCAGUUGGUCGGUUGUGCUUAGAGAUGUUUAUUUUCAUGUCCCACUGGGCACACUGUGACUGGCUACAUGCAGCACUCAGUUACUUCAGCUCC